GACGAACGCUGGCGGCGUGCUUAACACAUGCAAGUCGAACGGAAAGGCCCUGCUUGCAGGGUACUCGAGUGGCGAACGGGUGAGUAACACGUGUGUGAUCUGCCCUGCACUUCGGGAUAAGCCUGGGAAACUGGGUCUAAUACCGGAUAGGAGCCAUUUUUAGUGUGGUUGUUGGAAAGUUUUUUCGGUGUAUGAUGAGCUCGCGGCCUAUCAGCUUGUUGGUGGGGUAAUGGCCUACCAAGGCGGCGACGGGUAGCCGGCCUGAGAGGGUGGCCGGCCACAUUGGGACUGAGAUACGGCCCAGACUCCUACGGGAGGCAGCAGUGGGGAAUAUUGCACAAUGGGCGCAAGCCUGAUGCAGCGACGCCGCGUGGGGGAUGACGGCCUUCGGGUUGUAAACUCCUUUCGCUAGGGACGAAGCUUUUUGGGCCGGUACCUAGAUAAGAGGCACCGGCUACCUCCGU
rnacentral:rRNA from 1 species